rnacentral:rRNA from 1 species
GACGAACGCUGGCGGCGUGCUUAACACAUGCAAGUCGAACGGAAAGGCCCUGUAUUUGUGGGGAGCGCGAGUGGCGAACGGGGGAGUAACACGUGAGUAACCUGUCCUUGACUGCGGGAGAACUUCAGGAAACUGGGGUUAAUACAGGAUAUGAGCACUUGCAGCACGGGGGGGGUGGGAAAGUUUCGGCGGUUGGGGACGGACUCGCGGCUCAUCAGCGUGUUGGUGGGGUCGUGGCUUACCAAGGCUUUGAGGGGUAGCCGGCCUGAGAGGGUGACCGGCCACAUUGGGCCUCAGGUAGGACCCGUACUCCUACGGGGGGCAGCGGUGGGGAAUAUUGCGCGAUGGGCGGAGGCCUGGUGCAGCAACGCCGCGUGCGAGAUGACGGCCUUCAGGUUGUAACCCGCUUUAGCCUGUGACGAAGCGUGAGUGACGGUAAUGGGUAAGGAAGCACCGGCUAACUACGUG